GCCUUCGUGGUGUAGUGGUCAGCAUGCUCGACGCGUAAGCAAGUGGUCCGUGGUUCGAUUCCAAGCGAAGACG
rnacentral:tRNA from 1 species